rnacentral:sRNA from 1 species
UACAGAGACAAAAUACAGGAACUUAGAAAUGUUAUGGAAAUUCCAUUCUUCUUCUGACAGCCAGACGGUUAGAGCUUCUCCAGAUGCACGGCUCACCCAGAUAAUGGAGCAGCAUCAGCAAGCCUUGGUGCAGCUGACCGACGUGCAGCCCAGUGAAGGGGCCUUAUCCAGUGUCACGCUUCCACCUAUACUGUCAAGGGUAGAAAGUGAAUCCCAACUCAGUUCAGAGAGAAGCCAAAGAAACCAAGUGAAAAUUAGCCGUAGCAAUUCUGAAGGCUAUCUGUUUCAACUGGAAAAGGGAAAAAAGCAUAAGAAAAGAAGCAGCAGUAAGGUAAUAAAAGCACCAUUUUUACCAAGUAACCUUUCCAUUUUGAGAAUACAGAUGGACCUUGAUGUAAUUAUAGCCCUGAAAUAGGGAUGGUCAUUACUGAGUUGCUGCCACACUGGGUCGCCCAGAGUCCUAAGGAGUUUCUUACUCCUGACCCUGCUACUCCCUGGGGUUUCCCUCCCCUUCUUAAUAGAAGUUGUUGCUGCCAGGGAUGCCCAUUUCUCCCUCCUGUUCAAGUCAUCUUGGCGAGAGGUCUCCAUUUGCAGAGUGGCAAAACUCCUCCUUUCAUCCCCAGCUGAAACAUCCCUUCCUCAGGAAAGCUUCCAUACUCCACCCAAGCCCCAUGCUAACCUGAGUCUUCAUUGUUAUUAAAUCAUUUCUUCCCAGGUCAUUCUCAUAUCUUAAAAAGUAGAGAAAGCAGGGCUGAGUGAGUGAAAGCGCCUGUUGCCAUUGCAUUUUCCCACCAUCUGCCUCUAUGAGGACUCAUAUUGGCCCUAAUCUCACCCCAACUUCUGCAGUAAAAUACCUGGGCUGGCCAGUGAUUGAACGUUCCUCUCAAACAUUAGCUGACCUUUACUGAGUUCUUUGUCUCAAAUCACCAUUACUAGCACCUUUGCGCACUUCAGUCUUUUCUCAUAGGGCCUACAUGAUUUAACAAGUAAAAUUGGGGACCCAAAGUAGAAUGUUUUCAGUAAGAAAUGAAGGCGCCUAGGAAGGGGACUUUUUAUGUCCUG